UAUCCUACGGGGGGCAGCAGUGGGGAAUAUUGCACAAUGGGCGAAAGCCUGAUGCAGCAACGCCGCGUGAAGGAAGACGGUUUUCGGAUUGUAAACUUCUGUUCUUAGUGAAGAAAAAUGACGGUAGCUAAGGAGCAAGCCACGGCUAACUACGUGCCAGCAGCCGCGGUAAUACGUAGGUGGCAAGCGUUGUCCGGAAUUACUGGGUGUAAAGGGAGCGUAGACGGCCAGACAAGUCUGAAGUGAAAAUCCAGCGCUAAACGUUGGAAGAGCUUUGGAAACUGCCGGGCUAGAGUGCAGGAGGG
rnacentral:rRNA from 1 species